CUGCUACACCUGCCCUGUGCUGAGUUUGAUCCUGUCCACUGAGACCUUCUCAUGUGCAAACCAUGGAAACUUGAACUCCGGGCAAAUGCCACGACAUUACAUUCAGAGUCUUGGUGGUAAAGUGUUUAAAAUGUGUCUUCGCAUUUUCUGCAUAACUGGAUCCUAGCUCAUUAAGGAUCUCCUGUG
rnacentral:lncRNA from 1 species